rnacentral:rRNA from 1 species
GUGAGUAACACGUGGGCAAUCUGCCCUUCACUCUGGGACAAGCCCUGGAAACGGGGUCUAAUACCGGAUAAUACUUCCACUCUCCUGGGUGGUUGUUGAAAGCUCCGGCGGUGAAGGAUGAGCCCGCGGCCUAUCAGCUUGUUGGUGAGGUAAUGGCUCACCAAGGCGACGACGGGUAGCCGGCCUGAGAGGGCGACCGGCCACACUGGGACUGAGACACGGCCCAGACUCCUACGGGAGGCAGCAGUGGGGAAUAUUGCACAAUGGGCGAAAGCCUGAUGCAGCGACGCCGCGUGAGGGAUGACGGCCUUCGGGUUGUAAACCUCUUUCAGCAGGGAAGAAGCGAAAGUGACGGUACCUGCAGAAGAAGCGCCGGCUAACUACGUGCCAGCAGCCGCGGUAAUACGUAGGGCGCAAGCGUUGUCCGGAAUUAUUGGGCGUAAAGAGCUCGUAGGCGGCUUGUCACGUCGGGUGUGAAAGCCCGGGGCUUAACCCCGGGUCUGCAUUCGAUACGGGCUAGCUAGAGUGUGGUAGGGGAGAUCGGAAUUCCUGGUGUAGCGGUGAAAUGCGCAGAUAUCAGGAGGAACACCGGUGGCGAAGGCGGAUCUCUGGGCCAUUACUGACGCUGAGGAGCGAAAGCGUGGGGAGCGAACAGGAUUAGAUACCCUGGUAGUCCACGCCGUAAACGGUGGGAACUAGGUGUUGGCGACAUUCCACGUCGUCGGUGCCGCAGCUAACGCA